AUGUCUUCCUCCAGUUCCUCCUCGCCUAGUAUCAACAGUCAGGUUACAGAGAAGCUAUCUUGCACGAAUUACGUGUUGUGGCGCACGCAGAUCACACCUCAGCUGCGCGGUGCCGGCGUCUUCGGCUAUGUCGACGACACCAACCCGGAGCCGGCCAAGCUCCUCGUCACCACCAAGGAUGGCAAGGAGACUUCAUCGGCUAACCCUCUCCACCCUAUAUGGGUACGGGAGGAUCAACAGGUCCUUGGCUACCUGCUGAAUAACCUCACAAACGAGGUCCUGGUCACGGUGACCACGAUCACCACGGCGGGCGCGCUCUGGAUGACGCUCGCUGCCAUGUUCUCAUCUCAAUCGGCGAGUCGCAUCAACAAGAUCCACACCUCCCUCAUCAACGCACAAAAGGGUAACCUCUCGGUUGCCUCCUACUUUAGCAUCAUGCGUGGCUAUGCCGACGAGCUGGCCACAGCGGGCAAGGCUAUCCAGGAUGAUGAGCUCGUCUCGUACAUCAUUCAUGGGUUGGAGGCGGACUAUCAACCUCUGGUGUAG
rnacentral:rRNA from 1 species